rnacentral:rRNA from 1 species
AGUGAACGCUGGCGGCGUGCUUAACACAUGCAAGUCGAACGAGAACGGAUUAUAGCUUGCUAUAAUUGUCAGCUAAGUGGCGCACGGGUGAGUAAUGUAUAGGUAAUAUGCCUCUUACUAAGGGAUAACAAUUGGAAACGUUUGCUAAUACCUUAUACUCCUUAUUAACAUAAGUUAAUAAGGGAAAGAUUUAUUGGUAAGAGAUUAGCCUGUAUUGUAUCAGUUAGUUGGUGGGGUAAUGGCUUACCAAGACUAUGACACAUAACUGGUUUGAGAGGAUGAUCAGCCACACUGGAACUGAGACACGGUCCAGACUCCUACGGGAGGCAGCAGUGGGGAAUAUUGCACAAUGGGCGAAAGUCUGAUGCAGCAACGCCGCGUGGAGGAUGACACAUUUCGGUGCGUAAACUCCUUUUAUAUGAGAAGAUAAUGACGGUAUUAUAUGAAUAAGCACCGGCUAACUCCGUGCCAGCCGCCGCCGUAA